AUCAAUUGCACUAUCAAUUUCCCAUCUAAACUUUAGAAAACCGACUACAAUACUUCAACAUGACUUAUGUGGUUCGGUUUCUGUCGAUCGUUUACACGUAGUGGAUCAAUUUUAUGUGUUCUCCGGGCGUGGCUUGCAAGGGACAUUGUGGGAUUGUCUAGGUUGUCACCUAAGCUUUUCACGUCUUCAGCAAAGGUCUUGAGGCUUUUUGGGCUUUGUUGUUGGACCAAGUGUGGUUAGGGUUUCCGGUUGGAGGGUCGGCCGUGUCUUCUGGUGCAUUUUGCGUUUUUUCCCUUGAGUGCACAGCCUCUUUAUUUCUUAAGCCUGCGUGUGCCUCAAGGAAAGAGUGUGUUCUCUUGUGGGAGUGGUUGUUAGUUGUUGCUUCUAUCUGUACGCUUGUCGGUGUGUGAUUUUCUUGGGCAUCAAGUUGUUUUUCCCGCCCAUUCGCUUUCCCGUCUUCUGCCACCAAUCAAUCAAUUCUACCCCGCGUUUUCUCCCUUAAUUGGCCCCUUCCAUAUUUGCAGAUACUGUUCCAGAUUUUCACUCAAGGUUUGUGCUCAUUUGUGGGCUCUAAGUUUUGGUUUCCUUCUUAGUGUCAUCAGUUAUCCGUACUCAUUCGUGGGCCCCAAGCUUCCGUUUCCAUUCCCAUCACGCCAUAGCCUACACCAACUUCUAACUGCGCUAAUGGUUUUUCCUUUCGCGCUUUCCAAUUAUGUCGCAUAUAUCCGUUUGUGCAAUCCAUUUGUCGUCACCCCCACUCUACACCGCUCUCUAAUCCUCAUCUACGGCUAACGAGAGCGUCACCGAUCAUGACCCAUUGCUCCCGCCUCCGAUUACUCAGGAAAAGUUCUUCAUUAAGCUUCCUUGCUAUGAUUUCGGUUGGAGCUGAAAUGGGAAACCCAAAUUUCAGACCAUUGUUGGUCGUAUCAUGGCUAACAUUCCUGGCUGGCCUAUACCCCCACUGAGGUUAUAUCCUUCAGCAAUGCAGCUAAAGUGGAUGACUGCCUUUUCAAGAAUCCUAUGUGUUGUCCAAGUGCUCUGCAUUUCAUUGAAAAACUGUGAUUGUCAUUGGCUAUGGUGUGCAGACAAGUGAUGCUUGCAGUGCAUUGGGUGAAUUUUUGCGUUCUAUUUUGAGGUUUAUCAGUUUUGAAUUCUACUGGGUGAUUGUGAUAUGAGUGUUACUUUCUUUUUGUACUUAUAGCAUGAUGGAUUGUUUUGCUUUGCUUUGUCUUCAUUAAAUUGCAUAGGGAAUUUUGACUUACAUGGUUGAUAUGCAAUGUCAUUUUGGCUUUUAAGAAAAAUGACCAAAAAUCUUAAAACAGAUUUAAGAUUGAACUCUGAGGAAGCUGAACUUCACAUAUAAUAUCUAUCUCUUCAUCAUUAACAUUAACAAUUAACAAAUAGUAUAAUGUCACAUUCGGGCAUAAAUAUUGGGCUAUAUACAUGCAAAAGUACAUCCAGAAAAAUAUAGUUUCAUGUCAAGAACUAGAACCUAAUCAUAUUUUCAAUUUUUAUACACAUAGACCUCAGUUGGUGAUCAUAAUAAAAAAUUCUUAUUUUGUUUAUAUCAGUAGCAACCUAUUCACAAAGCAUUAGUAGCACAAGACCACAUCCAGUUAAGUUUCAUUACCUUCAGUUGCAAUAGUUUCAAGGGAAGGUCCAGCAGAGCACAAAAGAUACGAUUUCCUUACCCAGUACUCUGUUUGCAUACUCCAUGUAGUCCAAAUCGAUUUUUUUUACAUAUGCCUGGAUAAUUCAGAAGAAAUGUCAAGUUGUCAACGAAGAUUUAGAUUAAUAUGCUCCUAGAAGUCCCUAUUGGGUCUAAGACACAUAGUAUAGGACAUUCAGUAGUGAAAAAGGAGAGAUGGUAGAAACUUGAAAGGUUAAAGGGCUUUAAGAUGUUUCUAUUUUGAUAUUUUGAUGCUACUAAGUUUGCAUCAAAGGAUUCCUGGAACUGAACACAACAGUCCCCAGCAAUGGAAAAUCUGUCUGGAAAGUUGUAAUGUAUUUGUACUUGAAAGUUGAUUGGAUAAACUUGAAGUCUUCUAUCUCUUAAAGAACAAGGUGAGACAAUUAUGCUUACUUUCUAUCCCCUUCUUUCGUCUCCCACAAUAUUAGCUAUUUUAGUCCUUUGGUUAUGUAUGGCGGAAUCAUUGAAGAUGUUGUAUUGUUGAUUAUUUUGAAUAAAGAUACGUUGUGGUUACUGGUUGAUGUUUUUUUUUUUUUUUGGGUAUUGAUUCCUAAACAAUUUUGACGGCAAUCGAGCAUUAAUUUAGUCUCAAAAAGUCUACUGAUAUGAUGAUAUCAAUUGAGUCUUUCACCAAAAGGGGGAAAAAAAACUUCUGAUGGCAUCAGUUUAGACCUAAGAAUAAAGUAAUGUACUCUUUAUAAUAUCAACAUAUGGUAUUACAGUUUCAAAUACCAAAGUAAUGUUUUUUUAAGAUUAGAUGGUCUCAUGGACCAGAUGAUCUUGAUUCCAAAGAACCAACCACGAUACCAAUUCACUCUAUGGAAAAAUAACCUGUUAAAAACUAUAACAAAUAAUAACAAAUUAAUAGAACUGUCUAAACCUCACUUCACUGAAAACAAGAUCAGCAACAAAAAUGCUCUAUUUACAUAGUCCAUAACUUGGUGCUGCCUUUAGUAGAUAGCUCUCAGCUCUUCAUGCUUUCUCCAUCAUCCUCCUCUCUAGCUCUUCACAUAAGCUCAGAAAAUAAUAGCAAAAUAGGUUGUGUCAUAACUUUGAAGCUUGUACGUAUCUUUCCCAAACAUAUCUGAAGUGAAGUGGCGUUGAAGAUGCGGUGAAGGUUUUUCUUUAGUCACACCUCUGUUCCUUAACCAAGUUUGGGUCUUUUAUUAAGAUCCAAUGCUAAGAUGAUCUAUGAGGUGCUUCUGGUAAGACUUAGUGAAGUUUUUCAGGUCUUCUUUGAUUUUGUUAACUAAUGUGUGCUGGAUUUGGAAGCUACAUUCCCUUUGAACAGUAGCUUAUGUUUUAUGUAAAAAAAUAAUGUGCAAUUCCUAUUAUAAUUUAUUUUCCUACACUAAAUCUGAUCUUAAUUGUCAACAAGUAGUGAUGCAAAGUAUUGUACCAAGUAUAUAUUAUCGCCUACUUUUUCUUCAAUUUUCAAUGGUUUAUUUUCUUCUAUUGUUAGUUUCUAUAGCAAUAGAAGACAUAUUCCCACUGAUAAAACUUUGAAUAUUGGUGAAUAUAAAUAUUCAUUUGAAAUUUAGUGCUUGCUUUGGCUUAUAGACUUCUUUUUUUGGAAGAGCAUGGGAACUCUAUCAUAAAGCUGUGUCAAAUUUUUUUAUAUCAUCUGAGUUUUUUUUUUAUUGAUGUCUUCAUCUUUUUUUUUCCUUUUUUGUUCCCUAUCUCCUUCAUAAAGCAUUGAAAUGAUAUAGGGAUUACUGGAAUUAUUGGAUGAUUGGUGUUAUUAGCUUUUUUAUUUUUUGAGACAGGAUAGUAAAUACUGUUUGCCUUAAUUGAAACUUUUUGCAAUCUAUCUCUUCCAUCGAUAUUAUUUCUGGAAAGUUUGCGUUUUCUAGCUUGCUCUAGUCUCUGCUUUGAAUUUGAUUGAGGGUGAUGAGAGAGUGGUAAGGAAAAAUGUCAGCGAUGGCCUUGCACACAAAGCAAAUUGCUGAACCUGCCAUAGAAUCCAUUGGGCUGGGAUACGAUCUCAAAAUUGAUCUCAAGCUCAAAUUCUGCAAGAGCAAUUUUCCUGACCCAAGAUUAAUUGCUAUAGACAAUGACCAAGUUCGGAUCAUUAAGCUCCCAAAUGGAAUUUCAAUCUCAAACGUCCCCAGAUAAAUUAAAUGUGAUAAAGGGGAGCACAUUAGAUUAUGCUCCCAUGUCCUAUCUCUUCAACAAGUACCUUUUAAUUUGAAAACAUGUUCUUUAAUAUUUUUUUCCGUCUCAUUUUAAUUGUAAGAUUGAGUCAUUUGAAAAACACUAAACGGUCUAAUUGAUAAGAACAGCAAAUGUAACGGGGGAAAUUAUUUCAUUAGUACAGUUUUGCUUUGGGCAUUAAGAUUUUCUGCAUUUCUCAAACGCAAUUUUUUUCAUUCUCAUUCUCCCUUAAUUUCUUGCUAUUCUAGCUAUUUAAUAUAGUAGUGUGACCACUUCGAUGGAUGCAAGGCUUCUGGAAGAGACCCUUUCGCCCUACAAGCAAUCCUCAGGGUGUCAUCCAGAUGGGUCUUGCAGAAAAUCAGAAGAAUGGAUGAGGAGGCAUCCGGAGGCUUCCAUUCGCACUCCUGAAUGACUACAUCACUUCAGAGAUAUUGCUAUCUUUCAGGACUAUCAUGGACUUUCCCAGUUCAAAAAGGGUGUGGAAAAGGCUAUGUCAAAAGUGAAAGGUGCAAGAGUGAAUUUUGAUGUAGAUAGAUUAGUGAUGAUUGGAGGGGCCACAGGGGCUACUAAAGUAAUGUUCUGUUUGGCUGAUCCUGGAGAUGCUUUUCUUAUUCCAGCACCUUUAUUAUCCAGCGUAUGUAUCCCAUCCAUAGCUCUAGAGUAGUUGCUAUGUUCAUUAGGAGUACCAUCUUCAUUGUUCUGCCAAGAUUCAAAGUGGAAAAUAAAUUAAAGCAGCUUGCUGAACUGCUAUAGAAUAAGUCUUUUUUUUAGAGAAUUGUAUGAAAAAAAGACUUCUGUUUUCAUUCACAUAUGGGGUAAUUUUUUUGUUAGUAAACUACGAGAGUAAUUUGAAAAGUUCUAUCAGAGGAGUUAAAAAAAUGUGAAUUUUUUGCAAUAUACAUCUAGAUCAUCAGACUUGGGUGCAUGCGUGUAUGUGAUUUAUAUGAUAACAGACUAUGUGUUAUUGUCAACAAGAUUACUAUACACAGUUAUUUUAUUAUUGUUAAAGAUUCUCUUAAUCAUGAUAUCAGUGAACGUAAUGAUAAAGACAUAAAUUGUUUGAUAUGUUUAAGCUUCUUUUUCUAUAUGUUGAUUUUUAAUUGUAUUCGUUCUAAUUGUGGAAGAUUGGGUUAGAUAUAAUUCAUUGUUUGAGAGUGAGAGUAUCUGAAAAUAAACCACGGCACGGAGGUUGCUGAUAAAAAGUGUGAUUCUUGGCUUAUGUUUUCAAUUUUCAUGCUGUUUGAGCAUAGCUGUACUUUUGUGAGAUUGUUCAUUUCAGUUAGAAGGAGCACCUUCCGCAACAGCUAAUAUCGCCUUAUAAGAAGGCUAGGUCAAAAUUCGAGCAGGCCAUGGCAUGAAGGAAGGUUUACAUUGAUAAGAGACUCUUUGUGUCAUAUGCCACAGCAAACAUGUAGUGCACAUAUAAAAUCUACAUUUUAUUAGUUGCAAAACAGACUUGAAAUUAAAUAAGAGGAAGAGAGAAAUGAAAGAUAGCAACGCAGGGAGCUCGUGGUCUACUAAGGCUUGACACUAUGAGAGAUUUGGAGGCAUUUAAAGCUUGAAUCAUUAUUGGAUUGAGUAUUGCUCAAGCUUUAUCGUGCAUAUAGAACAUGUGGCGCUAACGUUGAACCAUGGUGAGGGCUUUGGUAGGGACAAAGGGAAGGAAGGGACACCCAAAGAGUGAAGAGCUCAUUUGUGAUUAUUUGAGUAUAAGACCGAUGCUAUUAGCUAGAGGGCUUGAAGAGCUUCAUGUGGAUACUUGAACCGCUCAAAGCAAACGUCGGAUGGUGAAACAGCAUAAUCUAGAAUUUCAAAGUGCUAUCAUGACAGCAAUCUGAUGUAUGACAAUUGGUACACGCUGCGGCGCAUAGCAAUUGUGCCACAAUGCAAAUGCUUGCUGAGGGACUCGUUCCUCUAUGUCAUCCGCUGCAGCGGAUUGGCCAAAUUUUGAAAAAUUUUCAAAUUUUAUUAGCUUGUUUUUAAGUGUUAUUUAAUUUUCAUACUUCCAUUAUGUUAUUAGAUUGAUUUUAGACUAUAGUUUGAACCCAAAUAAUAUUUAAACAUGGUUUUCUUGGGA